ACAUUUUCCAGAUGAGAAAUGCAGAGGUUUUGGAUACCAUACUCCCCUGCUCUAAGAGACACUUUUCGUUUUCACAUUUGAAGAUCCCUGUCACCAGGAUUCAUCUCACAGCUGAUGGUGCCCUCCCUCGGCUGUCGGCUUAUGCAUAGGCACCCACGGGGCUCACCAGUGUCCCUGGUUAUUCUCUCUUCCCUGGACGUAUAGAACAAGUCAACAUAACCACCUCUCUGAUGUCAGGGGUUGCUCGGAGACCAACUUUGUCCAGUGGGAUAUGUGGAGCGGCCGUAUCCACAGCUUCAGAUGGGAGCUUAGAUUUAGGCUUCCACAGCCCAGGCUUCAUCCGCUCAGUGGCCAGCACUGCACAGGCAGAGACUUAAGUUCCUUGAAAACAAACCACACAUCCCUUCAUCUCUGCACCCCCUCCAGAGCCUUGCAGAGUCUUCACUGUCAUCACAUUCAAGCGCAGGCUGCAUAAAAGAAGGAAGUAGGAAUGGAAUGGACGGUUAGUGUGCUGUGAAUAAGGUGACACUCAGUAGAUCGCUGGCCACAUGGACAGUGGAAGGGGAUUUUCACAGAGCCACCAAAACCAAUAUUCCAGGUUCACCUAACAUAAUGUAACUGAGAAUCCUUGGUUCUAAUUUGAGACACCUGAUACGUAAAGGAAGAAGCAUGAUGGAGGCCCCAGAGACCGUAUUUAUUACUCAACAGGGCAGGAACUUGGGAAAAGGCCACUGGUGUCCAGGGGAAGAGUUCAGGCCAGUGAAUGAAGCCCCAUCAUGAGCCAGGAACUGAACUAGUCCUGGCUGAAAAUGCAACCACAGCACACACUUCUGCUCUCAAGGGGCUUAGGGUUCAGAGGAGGAGAGACUUAUAUAAUACAUGUGUGAGACAAAAUCACAAGUGCGAGAAGCCAUGUCUACUCAUUCCUGCUUGUCAAGAUAAUUUCCCACAGCCCCUGACUCUGUGAGGCCAUGCACCUCUUCGGGAAGAUGCUCUGAAGACAAAACAGGAUGGAGCACAUGGCCCCUACAUCACUUGCCUGAGUCACUAUACUCCUUAAAAGAUGAAUGACCCUAACCUUGUCUUUUCCUACACAGAAGAUAACGUUUGACAGGGUUAGUGACUAUGCCUCUGUAAUUCAUAACUAAAUGUAUUUUAGUCAUCUAUAACCAAAUAUACUCUUGCACCCAGACUUUGACGUGAUUUUGCACGUACUGAACCUUCACCGCUCGUCCAUAAACUGUGAGCUGAAACACCAUGUUGGAGCCUCUGACGGAACUGCUCCCGGGCUGUAGGUCUCCAUCUACAGUCUUCGGUAAGGCUUCUGAAUAAAACUAACUUUAAUUCUUUAAAA